rnacentral:rRNA from 1 species
UAGAGAGAGUUCAAGAGUACGUGAAACUGCUUAGAGGUUAAGCCCGAUGAACCUGAAUAUCCAUUAUGGAAAAUUCAACAUUAAUAUUAUAAUAUUUAUUUAUAAAUAUUAUAAAAAUAGUGUGCAAUUUUUCCAUAUAAGGACAUUGUAAUCUGUUAAUGUUAUAAAUAUUUAUCAUAAGAUUCAGUAUAUAAAAGUUUAUUCAAAUUAGUUAUUUUCCGAUUUCUAACAUAGAAUAAAUUUAAUUGAAUUUGAUAAAUCAUUGACAGAUUUAUUUAUAUAUAGUGCUUAAAUUCUUAAUUGAAUUUUACAAUAAUUUAUAAAUGUAUUUUCAUUUAUUUAUUUAUUGUAUGCACUUAUAUGAUUAACAAUGCUAUAGAUUCAGGAUACCUUCGGGACCCGUCUUGAAACACGGACCAAA